GAUGAACGCUGGCGGCGUGCUUAACACAUGCAAGUCGAACGAAGCACUUUAUUUGAUUUCCUUCGGGACUGAUUAUUUUGUGACUGAGUGGCGGACGGGUGAGUAAUGCGUGGGUAACCUGCCUUGUACAGGGGGAUAACAGUUGGAAACGGCUGCUAAUACCGCAUAAGCGCACAGCAUCGCAUGAUGCAGUGUGAAAAACUCCGGUGGUAUAAGAUGGACCCGCGUUGGAUUAGCUAGUUGGUGAGGUAACGGCCCACCAAGGCGACGAUCCAUAGCCGACCUGAGAGGGUGACCGGCCACAUUGGGACUGAGACACGGCCCAAACUCCUACGGGAGGCAGCAGUGGGGAAUAUUGUACAAUGGGCGAAAGCCUGAUGCAGCGACGCCGCGUGAGCGAAGAAGUAUUUCGGUAUGUAAAGCUCUAUCAGCAGGGAAGAUAAUGACGGUACCUGACUAAGAAGCACCGGCUAAAUACGUG
rnacentral:rRNA from 1 species